CAAUAGCGUAUAUUAAAGUUGUUGCAGUUAAAAAGCUCGUAGUUGGAUUUCUGGUCGGAAGCUCCUGUCCUCUGAUGAGCGUACAAGUGCGUCCUACCAUCCUUCUGUUAACCUUUAAGGCUUUCGCGGCUUUCUAGGGGCUCAGAUAUUUUACCUUGAGAAAAUUAGAGUGUUUCAGGCAGGCUAGCGCCGGAAUACAUUAGCAUGGAAUAAUGGGAUAGGACUUUUGCCUCUUCUGUUGGUCAUGAGGCUCGAGUAAUGAUUAAUAGGGAUAGUUGGGGGCAUUAGUACUUAACUGUCAGAGGUGAAAUUCUCGGAUUUGUUAAAGACUAACUUAUGCGAAAGCAUUUGCCAAGGAUGUUUUCAUUAA
rnacentral:rRNA from 1 species